GGUUUCCCCUUCCUCGCCCCGGUUUGGCUCUCCGCGCUGACUUCCGCACCGAAGCGCUGUUCCGGCUCGCAGGGCUGCUGCCCGAGCCGCCCUGCGAUAGGCGCUACAAGUGACGAGCGCUCGGCGAGCUCCCUGAAACCGAAAGUAUUUGAAAGACGCUUUCACGCCCCUUAACUGUUAAUAACAAAGCUACGGAGUUCUCUAAUAAACUAAUUCCGACGCCAGGCUUUUCGCUACGAGAUUCUCCUUCCGACCGGCCGCUGUCUCAGCAGCGAUCCCCCCGGAGCCGCCCGCUCCGCGCCCCCGCAGUAAAACCUCAACGCCCAACAAAGCCGUUGGGCCGCUCCGGCCCGGCCCUGCCGCGCUUGGUUCACGCUCCAUUAUCUCCUUCGUGGAAACACAGCCCCGAAAGCACGGAGCUUAAAGGCUAUAGGUGCUCCUUUCCAAAUGGUGGAGUGUAAAAUUUGCUGUGUACAUCAGGCAGGAUGCAUGAAUUAAAAUGUUGAAGGGAGAGAAAGACAGAACCUAUGAGAGCAUCAGAAGAAAGCACUCAGAAGAAAACCAAAUAGCCUCUUGAGGAAAAGAAGCGAGGGGCAUCAGUGCACAGAAGGAAAUCAAGAUUAAAGUCCAGACAAGAGGAAUGCAGUCCAAGAGGGCAUCCGAGCCGUGCUCAGCCCGACGGAAGGUGCAGAACGAAGCUCUUCCUGCCUUCUGGGAAGCUGUCUGCAAACUGACUUCACGCCUUCAAAUUCUUUUUGUGCACUGAGGACAAGACCCUUUCUUUUCCUUUUAAAUUGCAGCUUACCAGCUGACAUGGGUUGGACUGAUAAGACCUACAGAUACAUUUACAGUUUCUUACCUUCACUAAGCUUUACUCUGCUCAGUAACGUGCUUGAGCCUAAGAAGCACAAGAGAGCUUCAUGAUAUUCAAUUGCUCAGUAAAAUAAAUAAAUGCAUGCAAAUUCUUGUCUUCGGUGAACAACACUUGAGAACAAGUACAGUAUUAUUUUAUUUUCUCUCCCCUCUGCAUUUACUGUUCUGCUUUACGGUGAAUAAGACUCAAGGUAACUGACUGUUAGCAAGUUUCUACACUAAUAGAAGUCUCAGAAAUUAUAAAUAAAUGUUACACAGAAAUAUCUAGUCAAAUCCUACAAUAUUAAGCUUUCUCUUCAAUUCUUUUUGCUGCUCACUGGGAAAGGAAAUGUUUGUCAAAACCGUUUUCAUUUUUCCAUUGCCUGUUUAGGACAUGAAUUCAUGCAGACUCUCCCUUUUGCAGAAGAUCACUCAGUGCUCAGUCUCACAGUCUCAGCCCCUUCAAGCAUACGACCUUCCUGCCAUGAAAGUAACUCAACUGCUUAAUCUCAACCCCGAUUUCUUCAGGGAAUUCGGGAGCUCCGCAUGCAGAACGCCCUUCCUUUUAUCCUGAUUUAAAUGCUACAAGUUGGAUAAAAGGCAGGUUUCACUGCUUUGUGCAAAAAUGGAAACCAAAAAGUCACCCAUAAAACCGAAAGCUUCUCUGAAAGCUUAAAAAUCUGGGAAUAGGGCAAUCAGUGGGAAGUACAAACAGUGGAGCAGAUGAGGCUGAACGAAAAACAGCAAACAUCUUAUUCCUAUGUACAGGAGAUCAGAGCACGCUAUGUUACCACCUGUGAAUUUUGCUGUAGGGAUUACAUCUGGAUUUGAGUUUGAAGGAAGUCAAGAGAGUAAACUUCAGAAGAAUAAAGUGACAGUUUAAUGACUCUUUAAAGAGGAGUCUUUCUCUGGAUAAUAGGUGGCAAAGAACAGGAACAAUUCUUACUGAGAAUUUACAGCAGGUCAAUUACAACCACAACUGUCAGCAAAGAGUAAUGUAAGGCAGGGAUCCGAUGAUUGAGAAUAAGCCACGAGGAGCUCCCUCUGCAGAAGGAAAGCACUUCAGUGUGCUGGAAAAGGGAGAGCGAGCUGAAGGGUGGAAAGGUGACAAAGAUUCUCAAAGCAGCAAUCCAAGGAGAUGGCAGAAAGCCUGCUUUUUCAAACCAGACCGAGCAUUAUGUCACUCCUGGUGCCUGAACACCAAAGGAACUCGGUUGCAAGUGCUGUUCAACACCAUGCAGUACCGGAAACCAUAACUGGGCAGAGCAAAAGCUACAUCCUGGUGAAAAUUGUAUCUGCAUAGACAUAGGUAAUAGAGGCACAGCCAUGAUGAAUAAUGAACGCUAUCCACUUAAGAGAAACAUAUUUACAUGAAAAGUGUAACUCAUUAAAACAAAGCCCUUUGAAUAAUUCUAACGGAGCUGAUACAAAACACAAAUAGCUACACAGCAAGGUGUACCUGAGGUAUCUCACCUCCAACUAGUGUCAUUUUCCUUUGUCUAAUUGCAACACAAAAAGAUUUGCAUUGAUCAUUUUGCUCAGGAAAUCAUCUCAUCACUAAUUUUACAUUUGUUUUGCAACAUCUUUUCUCACAACCGAGAAGUCUUCUUUGGCAGUACAAUUUAAAAAGCCAUAAGAAGCCUUCGCAUAUCACACUUCAACAGUUUAAAUAC